AGAGUUUGAUCAUGGCUCAGGACGAACGCUGGCGGCGUGCCUAAAACAUGCAAGUCGAACGGAGGCUUCGGCCUCAGUGGCGAACGGCGGAGUAAUACGUAAGCAACGUGCCCUAAAGACUGGGAUAGCCCGGGGAAACCCGGAGUAAUACUGGAUGUGGCCCUCAUCUGGCAUCAGGAGAGGAUCAAAUGGUUUUUCGCUUAAGGAGCGGCUUACGGCCUAUCAGGUAGUUGGUGAGGUAAUGGCUCACCAAGCCGACGACGGGUAGCGGGUCUGAGAGGAUGACCCGCUCGAGUGGGACUGAGACACGGCCCACACACCUACGGGUGGCAGCAGUUGGGAAUCUUGCACAAUGGGGGAAACCCUGAUGCAGCGACGCCGCGUGGAGGAUGAAGGAUCUAGGUCUGUAAACUCCUUUUAUCGGGAAAGACUUAGGACGGUACCCGAUGAAUAAGCACCGGCUAACUACGUGCCAGCAGCCGCGGUAAGACGUAGGGGGCAAGCGUUGUCCGGAUUUAUUGGGCGUAAAGAGCGUGUAGGCGGCCAGGCAGGCCCGCUGUGAAAACUCGAGGCUUAACCUCGAGACGUCGGUGGAAACCGUUUGGCUAGAGUCCGGAAGAGGAGAGUGGAAUUCCCGGUGUAGCGGUGAAAUGCGCAGAUAUCGGGAAGAACACCCGUGGCGAAGGCGGCUCUCUGGGAC
rnacentral:rRNA from 1 species